GGCCUGAAGAUUUGUCCCAGCAAUA
rnacentral:piRNA from 1 species